GAAGUUACACUCUUUUCGCAUUGCUAUUUACACAAUAGGAUUCAAAAUUAUCCAAAACAUUAUCAAGCCUAUACAUGCCAUAAGAUCGAGUUCAAAUAUUUAACAAAAUACCAAAAGAAGUCGAUAGUGUGAUGGACUGUGCUGAUGAUCCCCGAGCUCGUAACGCGUCUCCAAAUCUAUAAAAACGAAUGAAUGAAAGCAAACGAAGUAAGCUUUUAUAGCUUAGUAAGUCUCCAGCAUAACUAAAUGUAUAAUUAUAAACACAUAAUUAUUAUAACCUUUUUAAUCUAUUCUACUGAAAUUUCAAUUAACACAACCAACUAACAUUCAUACAUUAUUCUACUCAGACCAUUUCAUUUAUAGUCAGAUAUGUAUACCUGUCGGGUGAAUUCAGUUUAAUAUAUAUAUUAUACAAAACAACAUUACAAUUGAAUGUAUACCACUGAGCAUAUAUAUACAUAUUAUAUACAUAUCAAACCGAUUGUAUAUGUACACUCAUGGUAAGUUCUAAAUCAAUUCAAAUCUAACACAAAUAUAUAUACAUCAAUCACAUCUUAUAUUUGUUUGUAUAUAAAUAUACUCAUUACGAAUUUAUACCUGAAUACCUAGGUAACAUCGAAAUACACAUAUAUAUAUAUAUAUCAAAUGCAUACAUGAUUAAUUAUCAAACACAUAGGCUCAACAUAUAUAUGUUUAACUACCACAUAUCACCAUAUGCAUUUAUAAAUUCAGCAAUCACAUAUAUCUAAUGUACAUAUGUAUUCAUCGAUUUCAUAUAAUCACAAAUCAUGGAUAUAUCCAUUGUAUAUUCUAACACAAUUUAAACAGAUUCACCGGCAUUUUGCCUGCUAGGCUUAAAGCCUAAUUCAGUACACCGGCACUUAGCCUGCUAGACAUAUAGUCUGAAAUGUAUCACCGGCAUUAAGCCUGCUAGACAUAUAGUCUGAAAUGUAUCACCGGCAUUAAGCCUGCUAGACAUAUAGUCUGAAAUGUAUCACCGGCAUUAAGCCUGCUAGACUUAAAGUCUGUAUUACAUUCAAUCACUUUAUAAUAAUUCAAACUAACAAUUUCAUAUCUUCACUACCAUUCAAAAACUUUUACGUGAAUAUACAUACAAAAUCGAAACUUUCACAUACAUAUAUUAUUCUAUACCAAAUUUCGAUUCAAGAAUUUAUACAUGUGCAUUUAUACAUAUUCGAAUCUACCAUAUGAAUGUAUAAUUUCAUACUCAAUUUCAAAACAAAAACUUGUACAUAUAUAAAUGCACAAUCAAUCCUCGCAUACUUAAAUAAUGACAUAACUAAAUUCAAUACACAACACAUACAUGUAUAUUUGCAUGCUUAUUCGACUUUAUAUAUAUAUAUAUACAUACUUAUAUAAUCAUACAAACCAUAUAUAUAUAUACCUAUAUCUUAUACAUACCUUUGAUUUAUCCAAUAAUUUAUACAAGAUCAUACUUGUAUAUUCGAACAUGUUAUGUACAAUAUCUAUAGUCCAAAGUUUAUUCAACUAUUAUACUUUAAAUUAUAGCUCAAUCAUAAGAUAAAAAUUAGUAUGCAUGUAUAAAUAUUAACUUAAUAACUUUUAGUUGCUAAUAGACUUACCUCGGAUAUCAGCAAACACGAUCGACUAUUCGAUUAUCUUCGACUUCCCCCGAUCCAAAUUCGUUUUCUUCGUUCCUUGAUCUUGAAUUGAAAUCCCUAAGAUGGCCGAAUGCUAAAGCUUGAAGAACAAAGUUUCUUUCUUUUUGUUUCGGUGAUACAAACAAUGAAGAAAGAAAGAAA
rnacentral:lncRNA from 1 species